rnacentral:rRNA from 1 species
GACGAACGCUGGCGGCGUGCUUAACACAUGCAAGUCGCACGGUAAGGCCCUUCGGGGUACACGAGUGGCGAACGGGUGAGUAACACGUGGGUGAUCUGCCCUGCACUUCGGGAUAAGCCUGGGAAACUGGGUCUAAUACCGGAUAGGACCACUGCCUGCAUGGGUGGUGGUGGAAAGCUUUUGCGGUGUGGGAUGGGCCCGCGGCCUAUCAGCUUGUUGGUGGGGUGAUGGCCUAUCAAGGCGACGACGGGUAGCCGGCCUGAGAGGGUGACCGGCCACACUGGGACUGAGAUACGGCCCAGACUCCUACGGGAGGCAGCAGUGGGGAAUAUUGCACAAUGGGCGCAAGCCUGAUGCAGCGACGCCGCGUGAGGGAUGACGGCCUUCGGGUUGUAAACCUCUUUCAGCACCGACGAAGCGCAAGUGACGGUAGGUGCAGAAGAAGGACCGGCCAACUACGUGCCAGCCGCCGCCGUAAAAC